rnacentral:lncRNA from 1 species
AGUUUUUAUUGGCUCCUCCUUAUCCUUUCUAGUUCCUUUCUAAAGGAAUCUGCAUUACUGUUCAUAUCCUGUCUUAAUUCCUUCAGUAUUUUCACUAUUUCCCUUUUAAACUCAAUGUCUGUCAGACUGCAGGGGUCUAUUUCAUUGUUGUCUGCUUUAGGUGAAUUCUCCUAUUCCUUUAACUGGGAAUAAUUUCUGAGCUUCUUCAUCUUGCUUGUGUUUUUCUUUUUCUGUGAGUUUGGGGAAGCCAAACUGUAAUUUUGUAAGUCUACUUAUAUGCAAGAAUACUCCUUUGUGUUUUUUGGGGGGUUACUAUUUAUUUUUCAUGUGGGAGUUUGAAUAUUUGCUUUCUUUUUCUUCUGUGUUAGCAGGCUGUUAUAUCCCAGGAUGCUCAGUGUGUUUCCAGGGAGAAGGCAAUGAUGGGCAGGGCCAGUGGUCAGUGCCUAGUUUUUGGGUUCUCAACAGAAGCAAGGACCUGCAGGAAGGUGGCCCAAGCUGUUCCUAGUUGCAGGGCCCUGGGAAGUGGUAAUAAGCUCUAGGCUGAUCUUCAGCUGACCAGAACAUUUGGCAGAAGCAGCAGCAGGGUAUGUGAGUUCCCAGGGGAGUGAGAGCAAAAACAACUUGUGUUUGAUUGCAAUGCCCUCCUCUGAGGUGAUUGGAACUGCAGGUGGUUCCUGUUCAGGGACCCCUGCUGGGAGCAGGCCAUGACUGUCUCUAGAGUCAAUGAUAACUGUGGUGCUUUGCCCCCAUCACCUGUAGACCAUGCAUGAAGCAACCUGUCUCACUUAGCCCACAUAGAAUGUGCUGUACAAGCUGUUCCUAGUUGCAGGAUCCUGGGACGUUACAGAGAUCAGGUGUGUUGGUACUGCCCAGAAUGUUUGGCAGUGGCAACCUCAGGGCCAGUGUGUUCCCAGGGGUGCGAUAGCACCAACAGGUGGUAUUCGGUCUCAAUGCCCUCCUCUGUGGUGACUUUGAGGUGAAUGGGGCUGCAAGUGAUAUUUGUUCACAGACCCCUAGUGGUGGUGAACCACUCCCACCUCUGGAGUCAGAGAUAACUGCAAUAUUUGCCCUUACCUCCUGUAGACCAUGCCAGAAGCACCUCGUCCUGCUUAGCCCCCAUAAGAGGUGCUGUACAAGCUGCUUCUCGUCACAGGUUCCUGGGAAGGGACAGUGAUCAAUGGUCUGGACACUGCCCAGAGUGUUUGGCAGUGGCAGCAGCAGGGUGGGUGUGUUCUCAGGGGUGUGAGAGCAACAACAGGUGGUGUUCCAUCACAAUGUCCUUCUCUGUGGUGCCCUUUGAGGUGGAUGGGGUUGCAAGUGAUUUUUGUUCAGGUAUCCCCAGUGGCAGUGGGCCAAACCCACCUCUGGAAUCAGAGAUAACUGUGGCAGUUUGCCCCUGCCGCCUGUAGUCCACACAAUAAGUACCCUGUCCCACUUAACCCACAAAGGAGGUGCUGUACCAGCUGCUUCGAGUUGUAGGGUCUUGGGAAGGGACAGUGACCAAGUGUCUGGCCGCCUCCUAGAGCAUCUGGCAGUGGCAGCUGCAGGGCGGUUAUGUUCCCAGGGGAGUGAGAGCAACAAUAUAUGGUGCUUGGUUUCAGUGCCCUCUUUUUUUAUUUUUUUCCAACCCCUGAGGUGACUGGGUUGCAGGUAGAGCCCACUCACAGGCCCCCAGUGGUGGCAAGCCACGCCUCCCUCUGGCCUCUGAGACCAUCUCAGUGGUCUGUCCCUGCCAUCUGUAGGUUAUGCAAGAGGCACGAC